UACGUAGGGUGCGAGCGUUGUCCGGAAUUACUGGGCGUAAAGAGCUCGUAGGUGGUUUGUCGCGUUGUUCGUGAAAACCUGAGGCUUAACCUUGGGCGUGCGGGCGAUACGGGCAGACUGGAGUACUGCAGGGGAGACUGGAAUUCCUGGUGUAGCGGUGGAAUGCGCAGAUAUCGAGAGGAACACCUGCGGCGAAGGCGGGUUGCUGGGCUGACACUGACGCUGAGGCGCGAAAGCUAGGGGAGCGAACGGG
rnacentral:rRNA from 1 species